rnacentral:rRNA from 1 species
GAACGCUGGCGGCAGGCCUAACACAUGCAAGUCGAACGGUAGCACAGAGGAGCUUGCUCCUUGGGUGACGAGUGGCGGACGGGUGAGUAAUGUCUGGGAAACUGCCCGAUGGAGGGGGAUAACUACUGGAAACGGUAGCUAAUACCGCAUAACGUCGCAAGACCAAAGAGGGGGACCUUCGGGCCUCUUGCCAUCGGAUGUGCCCAGAUGGGAUUAGCUAGUAGGUGGGGUAACAGCCCACCAAGGCGACGAUCCCUAGCUGGUCUGAGAGGAUGACCAGCCACACUGGAACUGAGACACGGUCCAGACUCCUACGGGAGGCAGCAGUGGGGAAUAUUGCACAAUGGGCGCAAGCCUGAUGCAGCCAUGCCGCGUGUAUGAAGAAGGCCUUCGGGUUGUAAAGUACUUUCAGCGAGGAGGAAGGCGUUGUGGUUAAUAACCGCAACGAAUGACGUUACUCGGCAGAAGAGCCCCGGGCUACUCCGUGCCAGC